AGGCGGUCCCUGGUUGUGGAGGGCGUCGCGAUGGGUGGGGCGGAGCGUCUGUGGUCCUCCUGGAACCUUGCAUCCCGGGCAGUUUUGCAGAACACUGAUAUCUAUGGACGCUAACAUGGACUUCAUUUAAAGAAAUCCACGGACCAUAAAUGGACAAAAACAUGAAUCAGUUUAUGUUGUGGCAUUCAAAUCCUAGCACUUUGGGAAAGCAUCAAGUACAAGUUUUUGAAGACCCUGGGGCCUACCAUCAUUAUGCAUUCAAGAUUUGAGUUUGAAUAACUUCUUCAAGACUUAGAUCCUCUUCAAAAGCCUCAAGUCUCAUCUGCAUUAAAGCUCUCCAUUGAACCCUCUCACAAAAGAGCAUAGAGCAGAACAUUUCACACUGCAUCCCACCUGGUAAGAGUAAGUAUGUUUUCGUUAUAUGUAUGUGUGAAUGUGUGUGUGUUUGUGUUUGUGUACUUGGUCAUUAAAUAAAAUACAUUUUUUUUCCCUGUGAGUUGCAGUCGCUGAUCCAGGUGUGUUAUUUUAGUACUAAUGCUUUCCUACACAUUUGGGUUCUUAGGAAACUUUCUUUUCACUUCGUACCACUACUGCUUGUGACAAAGGAAUAGAUAAUUAGUAUCAGUUUGAUUUUUGGUCUAAUUAAUGAGAUUUUGUAAUUUCAGAGCACAGAGGUAUUUUAUUUAGUAAUACCAUCCACUUUGACACCUAGACUAUUAAAACAUGUAAGGUUGGUUCAACCUCAUACUAGUAGAAAGAUUGUAUCAAAUGUUUUUUCUUUUAAUUUUUUUUUGCUUUUAUUUC